GUUCGGGGUUUCGGGCGGCCAUGGCGAAUUCUGCAGGAUUUUACCCCAGUGAAAAAGGCUUGUAAUCCACAGUGAUCAGCUGAGAUGUUGUUUCACUGGAUUAUUUAAUUGGGCAUAUAAUUGAAUAAUUCUGGAUCAGCUGAGAUGUUAUUUCACUGGAUUAUUUAAUGGAUAGACUUAUUGGGCAUAUAGUUUGAUAUCUCUGUCCUCAACCUGGAAGAUAUGUAUUGUUCCUAACCAUCUAUAAUCCAUUCUCUAUGAAGUUCAGACUGUCUGCUCUUCCUUUGGAAAUACACAGUUAUAGUCAACCAACAUAGAAACACACAAACUUGAAGGAUUCUCUUGUGAGGGCUUAUGGAAAUGAUCUAUGUCUACUCUUAGAAUGGUGAAAGACUAUCAGAUUAUGCAAAGACUAACAGUAUAUCCUCUCUUGGAACACUGAAACAAGAAAACCAAACUUAAGAGGAUGGAGGAUUUAAGAAGCACAUAGAUAAAUAUGAUUUCCAUCUAAUUUAACCAGUACGAUCAUAGACUGUGGUUUACAGGAUGACAAAGAAAGGACCCAGGAUUGUAUCUUUUUUUUUUACUGUCAGACACUGACUAUGGAUAAAGUGUAAUCAUUUAUCAAACUGAGAUCUAGUCAAAUCAAGUAUUGAAAAUAUGAUUUUCUGAUAGCAUGAGCUCUUUAAAACCUAAUUCUCACUGACCUCAAAGUAUCUGAAUGUGACUUUUAUUUUUACCAAUUCAUAUUGAAGACUUUUGUUAUGUAUGAGAAGUAUACAUUUAAACCUUUUAUUUUUCAUUUUAUUCUUACAACCCCCUAGAAUUUACACAGAUAUCCAGAUGAUGGAUUUAAUGUUAUUAUUUAACUUUCCUGGAAUUGUAAAUAUAUUUUGUUUGUGUAUGUAUCAUGUUUAAUUUUUGAAUUUAAAUUGGGUCUCAAUAAGACCCCUAAUAAAGAUGCAAGUGCCCCAUAAUCUGUGGUUUAAUAAUAUCUUGAAUAUCUUUAUCAUACCAUAUUGUACAUACUAAUUACAUAUAGAAUGGUUAUAUGAAUACUUUUUGUUGUUUAGGACACUUUGUCAAGGUCAAAGCAUAAGAUUAUUGAGAUGACUUCUUUGACAUUAAUUUGUAACUUAAAAACUUCACAUCAUAAGUACACAAAUGAAGCAUGAAUAGGAGAUUUCAAUACAUUUAUUUUUGGAUCAUUUUCUCCUGGGUAAAGUUAGUUACUGAGAUAACUGAUGUGAGUCUUGAAAUGCAAUAACUUCAAAAUUGUGUGAUAACUUAUAGACUUUAUAAAAAUUAGGUGUAAAUUCUUAGGAAAGAAUUAAAAUAUUAAUCAAAUGUACAGUGUCCAAGGGUGUUUAUUUAAAUAUUAUUAUGUAAUAUCUUGGGUUUCUGUUUAUUUAUCAUAUUCAAAUUGAAGACAGUUGUUAUGUCUGGUUUUUAUACAUUGGAUCCUUUAUUUUUAAUUUCUACAACCCCCUAAAAAUGACACAGAUAUUCAGAAGCUAGCUUUGGUGUAUUUUUUUACUUUCCUGGAACUGUAAAUACAUUUUGUUUGUGUUUGUCCUAUUUUGAAUUUAAUAGGUCUCAAUAAGACCCCUCCCCCCAUAAAGAUGCAAGUGUCCUAUAAUCUGUGAUAAUAUGUUGAAUAUUUUUAUCAUUCCAUAAAUUUUAUUCUUACUACACAUAUAGUGUUUGGAGUAAUGCACUUAGUUGUAUAGGACAAUAUUCAAGGUCAAAGCAUGAGAUUAUUGAGAUAACUACCUUUGUCAAUAAUUUGUAACCUUCAAACUUUACAUCUUAAGUGAAGAAUGGAUAGGAGAUUUUCUAUAGAUUUUUGGAUCAUUUUCCUACAGGAUAAUAUUACUGACUUGAAACAUUUCAUGGUGAUUUACAUACCUGCAGUCAUAAAUAGAUACAUGUAGGCAUGGGGUAGACUCCUAUAGAUUUUAAGAUCUUCAUUCAAAAGUAUAGAAAGUUUUUAAGUUUGAAAGAUUAAAUGUCAGCAUAUCAUUUGCUUGUGAAUUUAAAAUAAAUUCAAACAUAUACAUCUUUAGAUGAUAACUAGUUAUUUCAAUUCCUGGACUUUCUAUCUUGAUAUUUUCCUUUAUUAUCUGUAAAAUUUAAUGAUUGUCUUUUUAGUUUAGUUGAACUAGUUUCUUAUUAGCAUGUGAAAAUGGCAUCAUCCAAAUAAGUUCAUCACAUUUUAUAUGUAAGAGAGAAUUUUUCAUCACAGGGAAAGAAAGAGAUUGUCUUGUAUAAUAUAAUGCAUUGGUACACAAAAAUAUCUUUCAAUUUCUAACAUGUUUCAUUUUUGUUACAUGGAAUGAUAAGUUCUGUUGAUUUCCUACCAAAGACAUACUAGUACAGUAAUAAAUGUAUAUGAUGUGUCAGAAAAGCAUGUGGAAACCUGAUGACUUUAUCAUUUCUGAUUAAAAAUCAAAUUAUGAGUUUCAUCUCUGUUACAUUAUUAAAAAAAUUCUAAGUAGAGCAUACACCAGAAACUCUUAAAUUGAUCUCUACUGUUCUAUCUGAACAUCAGGGUUUAACAGUACAUAACAAUUCCAAAUGAUUUUGGACGCUUUUUUAUGUAUCAAAAAGACAAAACAGAAUAUCUGUUCACAGAUGUUCCAAAGGAAAACAACCACAAAGAAAAGAUUUGUUAUGUUCUUUAUGUGAUUCAUGUAAAAUGUAUUUUAAAAGUGUAGCAUAACAGUCAUCUUUUGCAUAAAUACUUUUUGUGGAGAUUUUUUUUAUAUUUUUGAAAAAAAAAAAAAAGUAGUCUUAUUGUAUAAUAGGGUUAGCUUAAAAUCUUGUAGACUUUAAAGUUGUACAUGAUGUGUUACACAUCUUGCAUAUUUUCAUUUCAGGGUAUUCAGCAUAUAUUGUGGUUUUGUCUUAAAUUUGUUGCUUAUGUAAUCAAUAAUUUGAGAAUACUCAAAUUAGAAAAUGUAUGAGAGAAUAGGCAAGAAAAUGAGGUUAAAAAUGUUUUUACUACAAAGGGGUUAAUCUAUAUAUUUAUUUUAUAAGUACAAUCAGUCUAUACAUUUAAGGUAUUUCUGUAUGAAAUAAACUUACAUUUGAGUAUUUUAAGACAGUUGUAAACAUUAAUUUAUCCAGUUUUAAAAAUGAUUAGAUUCAUUGUCAGCAUGUUAUUUCUUGUAAAAUAAAAAGA